rnacentral:rRNA from 1 species
UGGGGAAUCUUGCACAAUGGGGGCAACCCUGAUGCAGCGACGCCGCGUGAGCGAUGAAGCCCUUCGGGGCGUAAAGCUCUUUCGACCGGAACGAUAAUGACGGUACCGGGAGAAGAAGCUGCGGCUAACUACGUGCCAGCCGCCGCGGUAAUACGUAGGCAGCAAGCGUUGUUCGGUGUUACUGGGCGUAACGAGUGCGUAGGCGGUUUUCUAAGUUCGGUGUGAAAUCUCCCGGCUUAACGGGGAGGGUGCGCCGAAGACUGGGAAGCUGGAGUGUGGGAAAGGCAGGCGGAAUUCCUGGUGUAGCGGUGAAAUGCGUAGAUAUCAGGAGGAACACCGGCGGUGUAGACGGCUUGCUAGACCAUAACUGACGCUGAGGCACGAAAGCGUGGGUAGCAAACA